CCUUCAGCUGAGCGUCUGUCGUCUUCAUUGACAACUUCCUCCAGUGUUCUCUUGAACAAACACUCCUUUCUGGUACAAAGCAGACUCUGAUCUCCACUCCUUAUGUGAACUCAGAAGUGCGAUGCUCCUUGUGGCACUGUUGUUGAGAUGAUGUGGUCACCACUGCGGGGCUGCCUUGGUUCACCAUGUGGCUGUCACCCACCAUGCUGUAAUCCCCAGGCAUCAAGUGCGUGGCAUUAUUCUGCCUGUGACAGAGUUUUGUCUCGGCCACUCUCCAAAGCAUGGUCAGUUGCGGAAGCUCCACCCCAGCAGUCUGAAUACAGAGACUGAAAAUCAUAAGCCUCCCUGCUCCUCGGCUCAUCUUGGGGUGCAAGUGUUCGGCCUCUGCUUGGGCACAGAGGUGAUUUUGGUGGAAAAGAAUUCUGAUGACCAUCACCAGCACUGGACACACCAGGAGGACAGCAAGUAUACUCAUCACAAUUGAGGAUUCUGCCACCAGUGUUACAUGCUGGGGUUCGGGGCCUCUGUAGUCUCUUCAAGUGCUGUCCAGAAUGUCUACCUGCAACGACGUUCUUCCUGUGAUUCUCACUGGAUUCCCUAAAGCUCUGUGGCAACCCAGGCUGCGGACAGAGGCCUCUGGUUCUGUGUGUGGCAGGAGCAGGCCGGCAGUCGAGGCUGUCCCCACCCAGCCUGCAUUGGAAUUGAGCACGGCCGCUGAUUCAGGGGUGCCGCCCGGAAUGAGCAGUGGGACCAGAAGGCAAGAGGAAGCGCAUUGCAGUGAGUCUGGGUGAGCAUACGUGGUCACUGGAGGAGGACACCAGCUCUGAAUCUGGCCAGUGUCCAGCAUGGCCUUGUCCUUCAUUCUUCUGAGUGUGUAGAAGGCUGUUUAAGAGAAACCAGAGAAGUCACCUGACACUCCACACUGUCGGGCCAGGGCCAGCACAUUUGAAAAACCCAACCACGGCCACUGCAGUCUCUUCCAAUUGCCUUUGACUUCCAGAACUCCACAGCUUUGUCAUCAGAAGCCCUUCCCAUCGUAUGCCAGAGAACAGAGAAGUGGCUGGCAGGAAGGAGACCGAGCCGACUCUGGAGGAGGUGAAGCUCACGGAAGGCGUAAGACGCACAGAGGUACCGUUCUUUGGCACUGCAGACAUUAAACACUCUGCCUCAUUAACGAGUGCGUAAAAGCACAAUGCUGAAUUUUAAAAUGGUGCUGUACAUUAGAUUCUCACAUCUGGGCCUUAGGACCACAUCUGCAUAUGCCAAGCACUGAACUGCCCUUUGGCAUCCGCCGUCUAAGAGGUGGCCAGCGCCUGUGAAAGCCUGUUUUGUUUGAGUGGAGACCAGAAAUUAUGAGCUUAGCGAGGAGGAGCUGGCCCGGCGGGUGUGCGCAGAGGUAAUUACACCGAUCGCUGGCGCGCUGAGCCUUCCGCUCCGCUGCUCAUCGCUCCUGAGGGUUCCGCUUAGUACCUAACGAGAGCAAGGAGCGAAACCUAACUGCAGCGGAGACAUUCAAGCGGGGAACUGAAGAGGGGCUUCAGUCCCACUGGUUAAUCGGUCAGGGCUGUCUGAUGUGAAGAGAUGGACGGAGAAAGGUCAGCUAUUGAGAGAGGACGGGACAGGGGCGAGGGAAGUUUUGGCUUUGUGAAGAUUUUCUUCGGAAUGAGAGGCUCCUACUUAAGAAAGUUUCUCAAGGGUGUGUUAUGUUCAUUCCAACUCGUACAUGUGUGCCUCGGUCCAGGUGACUAGAAGGAAGGAACUGAUAGAAACACGACUUCUGGCCAAGCUGAGAAGGUCAACCCCAGCCAGGGAGCGGGUGCGGGUGCUGAAUCCCGCUGGGCUCGCAGAGGCCAGGGCCGGGGGAGAGGGCGGCUGCAGUGUGGAGGUGGCAAGUGAGACUCAGCACUCAGCUACACUCCCUUGUGUGUUGCUCAGCUGAAGCAAAUAAUGUGAUUUUAAUAAUAAUAAAAAAAAAGCCUCAUCUGUUACUGGCAGAGAAAUCUCUGUAGGAGACACACCAGGCAAGAGUCCAGACAUACAUCUCUCUUCCUUUCUCCAAAUUGUAAAUGGAAGUUAAACGCUUUGUCAAAACGAAUGCUUCGCUUUUGUUAUCAUUUAUUGGUCCGUCUUUGCAGCACACCGUGCACGUUCAUCCUAGGGAUCAGGCAGAGGAGCGGAACACAUCUCAAUUGUUUUCAUUCCCCUUGUCUGUCUCUAGACCCCUUCCCAUCUGCAAAAGCUCUACCUUCCCAUUUCCUACUGUGUCCUUCAUUUUAUUUUACAAACUACUUAUACUGUGGCUUUCUAAUAUAAGAGAAGUUAUGCAGCAUUGAAGC